UCUGAGCUUGUCUUCAAGCAAGCUGCAGAUAAAACUCCAAGUUUGAGUGUGAAGGUGUCUAUAAGCAGUUGUUUUAAAUGAAGAAUUAUCAGAAAACAUAAAAAAAGGAAGUGAGGAGUGCAUGUGAAGGCAUGAAAGGAAGAUGAAUUUUUGUGUGGCCUGCUCUGCGUUGCUUGGAGAGCUUUUACUUUCUUCUGACCCCUCUGUGGCAUCCAAGACUUGCAGCUGUGCAAAUUCCACUUUUUAGAUUGAUAAAUUGCACCUAACAAAGUGUUAGGAUGUAACUGAGGAGAGAAACAGAAAAGCAUAAAUUAAUAGGAAAAACUGUGGAUUUGGAAGGGAAAUGAUGAAAUGUGUGGGUGGAAUUGUUAACUCUGAAGUUAAUUUGGCUGUGUAAGCACGUACCACACCGUUCUCCUGAAGUGUGGAUCAGAGG